UUCUAUGCUGCAUCUGUGUUUCAUGCUCCCAAUGUAUUGUCUCGACAGAUGUUUCUCCCAAUGUGGUUUGAGACAUUGAACAAAUAUUCAUUUGAUCUAGUAGGAAAAUUUAGUUGACACAUUUGAGUAUACUAAAAUCAAUGUGUCUGAAGUGGACUUUAAGAUAUAGUUUUUGCAAUUCUUACUUAGAUUUGAUUGGGACAUUGCAGUCUUGUUCUCCAUAGAUGAUGCCUAGAAAAAACUGGAACUUCAUCUGAUCAAUAAUGCUUUUUAUUAGGUUAUGAUAAAAUGAAAUCAAGUGUUGGUUUCAUUUGUUGUUGUUGAUGAGGUUAUUACCUGCUGUUUCUUGGUCUUGGGAAGCCCAUGUUUAUGGAUAUUUGCUGAUAUUUGUCGUCUCCAAACUUCAGUUUCGUUCACC
rnacentral:lncRNA from 1 species